rnacentral:RNase_P_RNA from 2 species
GCAGUAGAACAGACGGUCGCUGGCUCCCUUUUGCGGGGCUGGAGGAAAGUCCGAACACCACAGGGCAGGGUGCUCCAUAACGUGGAGUCGCGGCAACGUGAAGGCAAGUGCAACAGAAAGCAUACCGCCCUGCCGUUCGCGGCAGGGUAAGGGUGAAACGGUGCGGUAAGAGCGCACCAGUUCUCCGGGUGACCGGAGAAGCUAGGUAAACCCCACCCGGUGCAAGACCAAAUAGGGAAGUGCCUGAGGGCGGCUCGUCCGAGCUUCCGGGUAGGUCGCUUGAGGUGCCGGGCAAUCGGCAUCCCAGAUGAAUGACCGUCACCUCCGAUACGGGUAACUGUGCGGGGGACAGAAUUCGGCUUAUGGUCUGCUGCAACC